GGGGUUGUGGUGUAGUGGUCGCACAGCGGUCUUUUAAACCGCACGGCGUGGGUUCGAAUCCCUCCGGCCCCA
rnacentral:tRNA from 1 species